rnacentral:tRNA from 1 species
AGUGGUAGAGAUCAGUGGUGGAGCAUUUGACUCCCAUACAUGAGGUCCUGAGUUCAAUCCUCAGUACCUCAA